rnacentral:rRNA from 1 species
AUCUGCCCAUAAGUGGGGAAUAACAGUUGGAAACGACUGCUAAUACCGCAUACGCUACCGCAAGGUAGGAAAGGUGGCCUCUGAAUAUGCUGCCGCUUAUGGAUGAGCCCGCGUCUGAUUAGCUAGUUGGUGGGGUAAAGGCCUACCAAGGCGACGAUCAGUAGCCGGCCUGAGAGGGUGAACGGCCACACUGGGACUGAGACACGGCCCAGACUCCUACGGGAGGCAGCAGUGGGGAAUAUUGCGCAAUGGGGGAAACCCUGACGCAGCGACGCCGCGUGAGCGAUGAAGGCCUUAGGGUUGUAAAGCUCUGUUUUAGGGGACGAAUGUCUAGAUCAGUAAUAUGGGUUUAGAAUGACGGUACCCUAAGAGGAAGCCCCGGCUAACUACGUGCCAGCAGCCGCGGUAAGACGUAGGGGGCGAGCGUUGUCCGGAAUUACUGGGCGUAAAGAGCACGUAGGCGGGAAUUUAAGUCAGAUGUGAAAGACCGGGGCUCAACCCCGGGGUUGCAUUUGAAACUGGAUUUCUUGAGGGCAGGAGAGGAAAGCAGAAUUCCUGGUGUAGCGGUGAAAUGCGUAGAAAUCAGGAGGAAUACCAGUGGCGAAGGCGGCUUUCUGGACUGUCCCUGACGCUGAGGUGCGAAAGCGUGGGUAGCAAACAGGAUUAGAUACCCUGGUAGUCCACGCCGUAAACGAU